CGUAGCAAGUUGCAUUAAAUAAAUUUGGCUUAAAAGUCUAAUAUUUUUUUAUUUUUUUGGCAUGUCUUUAAUUAGUGACAAAAUUGGGAAAUGUUCUGAAUAAACCCUCGCUGAUAGUGCCUGCAGCACGUUGUCAUCGUCGUCUCGUUAGCGAGGCGCGAUUGCUGGCCGCGAUUGGCAAUUGGCAACAGCAGCAGCAGCAGCAGCAGCAGCAGCAGAAGCAUCUGGCAGCAUCAGCAGCCAACGUCAACGUCUUUUGGUCUAGGCUUAAGGGCCGCUCGAUAAGCAUCACACACAGCCUUGCUGAGUGGCUGGCUAGUUUCAUUGGACUUGGACAGGCUGCGCAACUGGUUGAGAUGGUCUCUCUAUCUUUCUGUCUCUUUCGAUCCUCGAACUUGGGCUAAAUUAGUGGAUGCCGCUUUUAAUUCCUAUCUGGCUUAUCGCAGCAGUCGCAUCUUAAAUGAGGUCAAUUAUCAAAAGUGCAAGUUGUUGGCAAGCCUAGGCCGAGGCCCCGCCCCAGCAUCAGCAUCAGCGACAACCACAGCCACAGCAUCAACAACAGCAGCAGCAGCCACAGAUUGAGAUAGAGUUUUGAGCUCAUAAAGCUAAAAGUUUCACUUUCAGUCAGCAGCAGUGAGAAGAGGCGAGAGUAAUAGAAACUGCACAUUAAACGCGAACGCAAACGCGAAUGCGAACGUGAACGCAACACGUGCCACGCUUCAUGGGAGCAGACUGUGGCAAGUGCAACUGCAACGCUGCACUUGCAAUCAAUCACAAAAGCCAGCUAUGGCUGUAAUUAGUGCAGGGAAAAACAACACCAGCAACAACUAAGAGAAGGAGAGCAGCAGCAACAAUGCACAUUGUGCAUUAAAACAAAGAAAGCAUGACGAAGUCAAAGCAGCAAAGUAAAAUUUUUUGUUGCAGACAUCGAAGAGAAGGCCGCAGAACAGAUUGCAAUUUGUGCGCGCAAUGGAGCAGCAACUUCGGCCAGUUUCAUUAAAAUUAAAAUUAUUUUGGUUGAAUAACAAUAGUAAUAAUGCGCCAGCACACAAACGAACGAAAAGUGAAAUUUUUGCACCUGAUGCAGCCCAUGAGCAAUUGAAAAAAUCGACAGCAGCCGCAAGCAACAAGCAACAAACUAACCACAGCAAUAGCAACAGUAACAGCAACAACAAGAUGCUCUCUCGCAGUCGGUAAUCAUCAUGGAAAUUUUCUUUUAUAUAAAAUUGCAAAUGAGCGUGGCAAACAUCCCAGACUCAAAAGCAAGAGUCAGAGCCACAGUCAAAGCCAUUGCCAAGGCUAGUUAUAGUGAUAGUGGCUGUCGAAACUAGCCAAGUUAACAGCUUCAGCUUUUAAGUACUUCCCAUUUGGCUGUAUUUGCAACAGUUCCGGCAACUUACUGACAGUUCAGCGACAUUUGUGUAACAGCUACAACCACCUAAACAACAAGAAAGAAAAACACCCAAAAACUUGUUGAAAUUUUCAAUGCAUUUCUUAUAUUAUCAAUAUUCAAAAAAAUCUACUUUUUCAUAUACAAUUAGCUAAGUUUACAAUCCAUCGAUGCUACAACUGCACACACUCAAAUAACGAGAAAGAAAAACACAAAACUUAUUAAGAGUUGCAACAGAAAAAAAUCAUUAAGGAAAUCUAGCAAAUAAUAUGAAGAGCAUUUAAAAGUUGAGAUAAAAUUAAUUCAAUUGAGUUUUAAGAAUUCAUUAUGUGAAAUGCAUUGGGAUAAAUUGAAUUUUAUAAAAACUUUUUAUUUUACAAAUUUCAGAAUUACUUAUGCACAGUUUUCACAUACAAUUGAGCAGAGUUUAACAUUGCGGGAAACAUCCAUUGAUACUGCAGCUAUAAUUCCAGCAACUUAUCGCCAGUUCAGCGAUAUUUGUG